GAUGAAGAACGUAGCGAAAUGCGAUAAGUAGUGUGAAUUGCAGAAUUCAGUGAAUCAUCGAAUCUUUGAACGCACAUUGCGCCCCUUGGUAUUCCAUGGGGCAUGCCUGUUCGAGCGUCAUUUGUACCUUCAAGCUCUGCUUGGUGUUGGGUGUUUGUCUCGCCUCUGCGUGUAGACUCGCCUCAAAAUAAUUGGCAGCCGGCGUAUUGAUUUCGGAGCGCAGUACAUCUCGCGCUUUGCACUCAUAACGACGACAUCCAAAAGUACAUUUUUACACUCUUGACCUCGGAUCAGGUAGGGAUACCCGCUGAACUUAAGCAUAUCAAUAAGCGGAGGA
rnacentral:misc_RNA from 1 species